AGGCUGAUGAGUCCCAAAUAGGACGAAACGCGCGUCCUGGAU
rnacentral:hammerhead_ribozyme from 1 species